GACGCGCACCCGGCCCGGCGCAGCGCACACACCGGCCCCGGUUUCAGGUGCGCAAAUCCCACCGAACGAGGAGUGCGCGUUUUCGUCGAGACGGGGAAAAGGCAGCGGCGCCCGUGGGUCAGCGUUUCCCAUUCACCAAAGCGUGGAUCCUCCCCACGAAACCCUCCAGUCCGGUAAACACGCCUCAGCAGCGGCCGGGCUCUAUGCGCAAAAGCGGCCACAUGAGGAGAAUCCAAGGAGGCAGCGAUGGGAAAUGAAAAAUGUCCACGCCGGGGAUCCGUUGGAGGAAUGCUACGUGAAGUGCCCCCGUUUUCCAGACGACCAUGCUGCGGGGGCCAGGUGCAGCCGUCGGCAGCCCAGCAGGCUGAGGCCUCUCCAGGGUAACGUCUGCUCCCUCCGGAGCCCUGGAGGUACGGAGGGGCCUCGUGAGUGCGUGUGUGGAAGCAUUAUUCAGCUGCACCUCCGUCUUCAUCAGCGAGACAGUUCAAAAGGCAGUCAACAGUGCCCCCCAACACACACACACACACACACACGCACGCACACACACACGCACACACGCACACACACGCACGCAGAGAUUCAGGAAAUUAGACCUGAGCUUUAUAAUCUCUAAUAUGAACAGGCCUUGAAGGGAAAAGAGCCGUGUGCUCAACGUAAGAGGACUCGUUCUGUAUUUGAUGCUAAUAUUUCUAUGUUAACUCAGUGUAAAUGUUGAUACUUUGCAUUUCCACACAUCGUUGUGUGGUGACGACGCUGUUUGAUUAUGUGGACGGUGGCCGACCUUACAACUCCCAGACGACUCGCAAUUAUCUCUGCAGUGUGGUCAGAAGCGUUUCCUUUAAACUUUAAUGAUGUUGUGCUUUGGAGGAGAGACGCAUCCUUUACUUUCCAUGUCUGAAAAACGGAGAUUGAAAUUCUUGCUGCGUGGGAAAAAGACAAGGAAACAACCCCGUGUUGAUUUAUGUCCUGUUUAUGAUAAACCUCUGUAGCAAACAACACACAAAGCCUGAAUGACUUUCAAUUAGUUGAUUAGUGAAUAAAGUAAAAGGUUUACGGCUUUUCA
rnacentral:lncRNA from 1 species